UGCUGAUAGAGCCAAUCCUGUGCAGA
rnacentral:piRNA from 1 species